UGAAUAAUCAAAUAAGAUUUUCUAACAUUAAAUCGCUAAUAAUUAUGUGCAAUUACUAAUUUAUCCCCCAUAUAUAUUUAAAAUUGAAUAAUCAAAUAAAAUAUAUUUGUUCAAUUAUUUUAAACUAAGUAAAUAAUUUGAUUUGAUUUAAUUUAUUUCAAUUAAUAUUUAAAAAAAUAUCGAUGCUAGAUAUCGUUUAAUAAUCUUAAGCCUAAUAAACUUUGCAACUUAAUUAUCAUAUUUUAAACUUUAAUGUUAAUUAUCAUGUCAAACAUGAAUUUAUAAACAAUUAGAAAUGGCGAAACAAGUACUUGUAUACUAAUUUAUUUAACUAAGAGCUGCAUCACUAUAUCAAACAAUGAAGGUAAAAGCAUCCUUUCAAAUCUCUCUUCUCACUCUAACCCUUUCACCAUUAAAGUGUAUAUACUUCCAUCUACGCAUGUACUUUUUAACAACCAUCAUUUGCUUGUCUUCUUGGCCUAAUAUCUUAAAGGCAUGAGUCAAUCUUCUAACAGUAUCCUCAUCUGGUCUCACACCCAACUCUUCCAUGUCUGCAAAUACCUCUAUUAUCUCGUCUGGCAUGUUAUGGUGAUCAUACAAAGAGAUCAUCCUUGAAAACAAGCGCUUUGAAAUGGAGCGUGUAUGCGUAUGCAAAAUCAUGUUCCACAAUGACUCGGCUUCAUCUAUUCUGUUGUCCAUAUCAAAUGCCAGUAGAAGGGUGUCAUAUGUUCCCAUUGUGGUUCCUUGACCUUUGCUCAACAUCCACUUUGCUACUUGAAUUACACGCAGCCACUGACUCCUCUUCCUCAAAAUUCUUAAAGCUUUAGCCACUGCAAGCAAUGGAAACUCUGUCUCCCAAGCUGUCCAUUUAUCUAAUGCUCCAUAGACAGCCUCUUUUUCAUUAGGAAGUUCAGAAACAAUUCUAACAAGAUUCAGUGCCUUUUCCCCAGAUCUAGCUGGAUCUCUUUUUUUCCACAAGUUGUGUCCUCUAUUUCCAUCUUUCUUUACAGUUUUCCUACUCUUAUCAGCUCUGAAAUUAGGUUUUGAUUGCCCACCUUGCUUGUGAGAGCACUUGGCAUGAGGAAGCCUUGUUACCUUCAUUGUGAGGCUAGUAACCCCUAUUGUCUUCUGCAAGAAAGAAAUUCUGCGACUUGAAAACAUAAACCCCAAUGAUAAAGCUACUUCAUUUACCCUAAUCUGAAUCAUAAAUAAACUCCACAUUAAAAUUGCCAUACAACAAUGCGGACAGAAAAAUUAUAUGGGAAGAACAAACAAUAAUAGCACAGCCAAGAGCUAUCACACUAUUCUUUGCUUCAGGCAACUAGAAUACAAAAGGAAAACAUGCCAAGAAAUUUUUAUUUUGAAGGCACCUUCAUAGAUCAUUCUUUACUGUUAAUAUAAAUAUUGAAUUAGCUACCACUGUAUGAUGCUCAAUACUAUAGGAAA
rnacentral:misc_RNA from 1 species